GCUGCCCGGGCCGAGCCGCUUCAGCCCCCGGGUGUCUCGGCCUGCGUCUCUCGGGCGUGCGCGGUUUUCUUUUUUUUUUUCUUCUUUCUUCUUCCCAUCUAAUAUUCAGUACGAACACACUAACAGCAUCCCCAUCCCGGGGACCCCAGCAUCCCUGGGGGGAGGAGCAACAACAGUGAUGCUCUGGGUUGGCAGACACACACACGAGAGGGGACCCCCAUUUCUUCCCAAGGCUGGGGUGCAGGGGAGAAAGCUUACAGUAUUUCUGGGGUGGUGCCUUCAGCACCUUUGGGACAGCAAUAAAUAAAUGCACCUGAUUUGGCUCUCUCCAUGAUGAUCAGAUGUGAUAGAUUGGCUGGACCAAAGGUGUGGAAAGGAGUAAAGCAAGGAAAAGGUUUGGUGGUAGCAAGGUAUGGGAAAAUGGGUCAUGAAGGGAAGGGAAACAGAAAGGAGACCGUCAGCAUCAGCUGGAGGACUGCGCCUGGAGGGGACCCACAAGUACCAGCUCUGCUGCCAGCCCCGAGAUGGGUGCUGAUGUUUUAUUUUCAAUUAUAUGUGGAAAAUCAGAUACACAAAGAACAUUAAAAUCCCAUUACGGUGAGCACACAACCAGGAGCUCAA